rnacentral:rRNA from 1 species
AACGAACGCUGGCGGCAGGCUUAACACAUGCAAGUCGAGCGCCCCGCAAGGGGAGCGGCAGACGGGUGAGUAACGCGUGGGAAUCUACCCAUCUCUACGGAAUAACGCAUGGAAACGUGUGCUAAUACCGUAUACGUCCUUCGGGCGAAAGAUUUAUCGGAGAUGGAUGGGCCCGCGUUGGAUUAGCUAGUUGGUGGGGUAAAGGCCUACCAAGGCGACGAUCCAUAGCUGGUCUGAGAGGAUGAUCAGCCACACUGGGGCUGAGACACGGCCCAGACUCCUACGGUAGGCAGCAGUGGGGAAUAGUGGACAAUGGGCGCAGGCCUGGUCCAGCCAUGCCGCGUGAGUGAUGAAGGCCCUAGGGUUGUAAAGCUCUUUCACCGGUGAAGAUAAUGACGGUAACCGGAGAAGAAGCCCCGGCGAACUUCGUGCCAGCCGCCGCAGUAAUAC